AGAGUUUGAUCCUGGCUCAGAAUCAACGCUGGCGGCGCGCCUAACACAUGCAAGUCGAACGAGAAAGUGGAGCAAUCCAUGAGUAAAGUGGCGUACGGGUGAGUAACACGUGGAUAAUCUGCCCUUUAGUGGGGAAUACCGAUGGGAAACCGUCGACAAUACCGCAUAAGCUCGAGAGAGGAAAGCAGCAAUGCGCUGAAGGAGGAGUCCGCGGUCGAUUAGCUAGUUGGUGAGGUAAUGGCUCACCAAGGCUGUGAUCGAUAGCCGGCCUGAGAGGGCACACGGCCACACUGGCACUGAAACACGGGCCAGACUCCUACGGGAGGCAGCAGUGGGGAAUCUUGCACAAUGGGGGAAACCCUGAUGCAGCGACGCCGCGUGAGCGAUGAAGCCCUUCGGGGUGUAAAGCUCUUUCGGCAGGGAAGAUUAUGACGGUACCUGCAGAAGCAGCUGCGGCUAACUACGUGCCAGCAGCCGCGGUAAUACGUAGGCAGCAAGCGUUGUUCGGAGUUACUGGGCGUAAAGGGUGCGUAGGCGGUCCUGUAAGUAUGGUGUGAAAUCUCCCGGCUUAACUGGGAGGGUGCGCUAUAGACUGCGGGACUAGAGGGUGGGAGAGGAAAGUGGAAUUCCUGGUGUAGCGGUGAAAUGCGUAGAUAUCAGGAGGAACACCGGUGGUGUAAACGGCUUUCUGGACCAUUUCUGACGCUGAGGCACGAAAGCGUGGGUAGCAAACAGGAUUAGAUACCCUAGUAGUCC
rnacentral:rRNA from 1 species